CGCGUAGGCGGCAAUUCAAGUCAUCUGUGAAAUCUCCGGGCUUAACUCGGAACGGUCAGAUGAUACUGCUUUGCUAGAGUGCAGAAGGGGCAAUCGGAAUUCUUGGUGUAGCGGUGAAAUGCGUAGAUAUCAAGAGGAACACCUGAGGUGAAGACGGGUUGCUGGGCUGACACUGACGCUGAGGCGCGAAAGCUAGGGUAGCAAACG
rnacentral:rRNA from 1 species